GAGGUGGCUCAAUGGUUAAGAGCACUGGCUGCUCUUCCAGAGGACCUGGGUUUAAUUCCCAACCCUCA
rnacentral:tRNA from 1 species